rnacentral:tRNA from 1 species
ACCUGGCUGGCUCAGUCAAUAGAGCAUGUGACUCUUGAUCUCAGUGUUAUAAGUUCAAGUUCCAUGUUGGGUA